GCAAAUCUAGCUAUUUCAUCAUCUCUGCCUGAGCUCACCACCACUACUAGCGCUAGCUAGCUUGAUCGUGAUGGCCCAUUCUGCUGUUGCUCAGGUCGUGCUCGUCGCCGUGGUGGCCGCUAUGCUCCUCGCAGCCACGGAGGCGGCCGUAUCGUGCGGUCAGGUGAGCUCUGCCUUGAGCCCCUGCAUCUCCUAUGCACGCGGCAACGGCGCCAACCCGUCUGCGGCCUGCUGCAGCGGCGUUAGGAGUCUAGCCAGCUCAGCCCGGAGCACCGCUGACAAGCAAGCGGCGUGCAAGUGUAUCAAGAGCGCUGCUGCUGGGCUCAACGCUGGCAAGGCCGCGGGCAUCCCCACAAAGUGCGGCGUUAGCGUUCCCUACACCAUCAGCUCUUCGGUCGACUGCUCUAAGAUUCGCUGAUCGAGCACUUGCUGCCAUCGCUGUUGCCAUCGUCCCCUGCACCAUCGUUGCUGGAUCUACGCUUAGUAUGUUGAGGUCACACACACGCACACACACAUAUAUAUAUGAAUAAAUGCUCUCAUAUUAUCUCACUGCGUGAGAGAGAGAGGAGUACGUACGUCAAGCAGCUCUGCAUGGCCGGCCCGAGUUUGGUUGUUCCUCCACUCCCCGAGUAUGCUGUACUUUGUACCAUGUGUAAUUUUGAUAUAUGGAUUGUAUACUCAGCUGAUCAGCUCUACUUGCGUGCGCAUGUUAUUCAGCACUUUUGAUAUAUGCAAGACUGGGAAAGCAUUCGAUUCCAGUUUGUUGCUCCAAGCAAGACGUAGGAAUGAACCCCAACAAUUUACUAGGAAUGGGACUAUGGCAUUUCAGUCAUUUUUUGGUUCCUCAACAAAACACACCCUAAAACUGUUUGUUAUAUAUUUGUAAUUUGUAAUGAUGGAUCGAAUCACAGUAAUAAACCGGCGUUCUGACAGGGUAUGACAUAACAAAGCUUAGUGGACUACGGCACUAAAUACUUGCACAAAUAGAAAGUUAAUAUCUACUUUUCACUACAGGUGGACCAUGUGAAUAAUAGAAUUUUCUCCUUAUUUACAGGAGGCGCACGGAUGGACAUAUUCUCUCCAUGCUAAUUUGAGUCAGGUGUUUGAAUUUUUCCAAAAAUAUACUAUACCUUAAAUAUAUUUAUAUAUAAGCAUUUAUACUGAAGUUUGACCUUUUUCAUCUCAACAUAGCUCGAUCUGUAAUGGCUUCAGUAACCGUGGGAUGAUCAAUUAUCUUUUUCUAUGUUGUAUCCUCAUCCACAUGAAAAAAAGAGACAAUCAUGGGUAACUUUUCAGGGAAAAAAAGAUGAUGCUUAUUUAGUUUAUGAAAAACAGUUUUGACGAUGACUUUCCCCACGAUGACGGUUGGUAAAGCCUUUAACUAUAAUAUGUUGUUUUUGUGUUUUUGAAUUGACAGAAUCGCAAGAUCAGUUCAGGAAAGAAAUAAUGUAAUGUGACCAAAAUAAGCAAACAUAACUUGCGGCAAUAAACAAUUUUUUUUCAUUUCCUGAUUGAGAGAUUUAUUCACUGCCUGCAUUGCAACUAUAAGUUGCACGGAUUUUUCUUAUUGUUUCAAGCAUUUUAGAUUGGAUAUUAAAAACUUUAAUCAGACACUGUUUGAAUAUUACAAAAUUGAUGUCAUUGUAAGUCUAUGUUAUCAAUUACUUUUGCAGUUUUAGUAAAUUUUAGUGAUAGCCUUCAGCUUGGAGUACGUGGACUAAAUGCUUAUGGUAUGAAAAAUAACAAGAAAGUUAUGUUGUGUCACAUUGAAAGUGGAUAGUUGAUCGUCAGCUGCUUGCCAAUAUCGCACAACCACAUAAUUUCAGUCUUUUUCCAUCAAAAACUGUACUCCCUCCGACCCAUAAUAAGUGUCGCAUCUUUGAGCUAAGGUUUAACUAACCUUAAUUUAAAGCUGCGAUACUUGUUUUGGAUCAGAGGCAGUAGAAUUUACCAAAUACAGUUUGGUAUCCGAAUUUAGAUAACUAUUCAUCUUCGGUAGCAAAUAUGAACUCCAUAUGUUUAUUGAAGUUCAAACAGAUAUAUCUAAUUUUAUUCAAGUGAUUUUAGUAAAAAUGUGGCCGAAAAUGUGUAUCUCAGGGCUAAAAGUUCUAAAAUUUUAGUAUUUUCCGAAUACAGAUUGGUAUGUAAAUUUUGAUAUCAUUUUAGCUUUGGCAGAAAAUAUGAACAUAUAUUUCGAUUGAAGUACAAAUAGAAAUAUGUAAAUUUACUAAAAAAAACUGGUCUAACAUAUUUUUCCAUAGAAGGCCUCGGUGCCAAAACUUACGGCGGGGCACGACAAGAUGUUUGGUUUCUAUUCUCUUCAUAGGCACCGCGCCAUUGUCUUGCAAAAUGUAUGAUUUAUCAUUUGGUCCGCCUUAUUACCAUCGCAUCUCCAUCACAUACGUGGUUCUCAGGCCAAGGAAAAAGGUGAGCUUUAUAGGAUAAGGGCGUAGCGGUCAAAAACUGUUUCACGAGUCUCCGUUGCCCAAAUUUGGGGUGUCGUAGAUAUUGCUAAGUUCCCCAUGGCUCCUACUAGUACACUUUGAAUCUAUAGGAAGAUGCAUCCCGGGCUGGUAUAUUGAAGACUAGAAAGUCGAUGUAAGUUGGUUUUUUAACUUUGCCCAAAGAAGUUGGGUUUUAAUUCCUUGUAGCAGUACAAGGUAGGAGGUGUGUGUGAAAUGAGAGAGCGGAGAAGUUUAAUGACCUGCGCGGCAGAGGUGGCCGUUGGAUCCAUUUAAUACGCCAGCGCUAUUAUACACAUCUACAACAUCGUGGCCCAUUGAUUUGGUCCAUGCUUGCACAAUGCUCUGCCGACGAUUUGAGGAGCUCGAUGUGCCGACCAAAACAACGUGGGUGUGUCUAGAGACGGAGGGAAAACUUCCAGAGCUGAUAGCAUUGUAAAUUUCGUUACCACUCCCUAUGUUCAUGGAUAAGUAUACAUACAAAUUUAAAGUCCAUUGAAAAGAUAGAAGUACUCCAACCUCAUUCCUAGUAGCGCCACUUGUGGAUCAAAAGACCAUAGAUGGGAGCGGUGCAACGCACCCAUAUUCCGCUAUAGGAUCCGGAUGCGCCAAAGUCAUUUGCAUAAUAAAGUCGAUAUUUUAUAACACAGAAGCGGAAUAUAGGUGCACCGUGCCAUACAUAAUACAUGGUAGAUUUACCCAAAAGACAUGUCUUCAUAUAAACCAAAUUAAUCAUUAAAAUGCAGUCCUGAAUAUUGCAUCAAUGAAGGUGAUUGAACGGUGGCCCUGCACGAGCAAACCAAAUUAAUGCACUCAACCACUCCACAGUCGAUCAUUGUAGGAGUACAUGUCGUUAUUAAUCUGCGCUGCACACGCUAAUGAACCACACUGCAUCGCUAGGUACGCAUGCUUGGUCGAUCAAUGGGCCCAACCCAACAUCCAACCGUCUCCCAAAUGCUUUAAUAUACCCAGCAACCUAAUCCAACAUCCAGCGACAAACAUUUAUGCAUUGGCUCACACCAAUCGAAUUUAUCCCUGUGGACGCAAUACUUGCCACAAUAAUAGUGUACAGUUUACUUACUACAAAUGGUAUCACAUGUUGGUUAGCAGCUCUAUUUAAGCCCAUGCACACCCUACGAAACACCUCACCGGUACAAUCACUUAGCAAAUCUAGCCCAUCUCACCAUCUCCAGCUGAGCUCAACACCACUUCUACUGCAAACUCGAUAGGGAUGGCCCGCGGUGCAGCUACUCAGCUCGUGCUGGUCGCCAUGGUGGCCGCUAUGCUCCUCGUAGCCUGCGAUGCGGCGAUAUCCUGCGGUCAGGUGACCUCUGCCUUGAGCCCCUGCAUCUCCUAUGCACGCGGCAACGGCGCCAACCCGCCUGCGGCCUGCUGCAGCGGCGUCAGGAGUCUGGCCGGUGCAGCCCGGAGCACCGCUGACAAGCAAGCAGCGUGCAAGUGC
rnacentral:lncRNA from 1 species